AGUGAACGCUGGCGGUAGGCCUAACACAUGCAAGUCGAACGGCAGCACAGUAAGAGCUUGCUCUUACGGGUGGCGAGUGGCGGACGGGUGAGGAAUACAUCGGAAUCUACUUUUUCGUGGGGGAUAACGUAGGGAAACUUACGCUAAUACCGCAUACGACCUACGGGUGAAAGCAGGGGAUCUUCGGACCUUGCGCGAUUGAAUGAGCCGAUGUCGGAUUAGCUAGUUGGCGGGGUAAAGGCCCACCAAGGCGACGAUCCGUAGCUGGUCUGAGAGGAUGAUCAGCAAAACUGGAACUGAGAAACGGUCAAGACUCCUACGGGAGGAAGCAGUGGGGAAUAUUGGACAAUGGGCGCAAGCCUGAUCCAGACAUACCGCGUGGGUGAAGAAGGCCUUCGGGUUGUAAAGCCCUCUUGUUGGGAAAGAAAAGCAGCAGGUUAAUAACCCGCUGUUCUGACGGUACCCAAAGAAUAAGCACCGGCUAACUUCGUG
rnacentral:rRNA from 1 species